CAAACUUGUGAUUAAGAACUUUACAGCAGAGGACUGCAGGCUUUACUUCUGUGGCAUCAGGAGAGAUGGCAAUAUUCAUUUUGUGGAGACUUUCCACCUCGUCUCAGAUCCAAAAGCUGAACAUAAGAGCGAAAACCAGCAGAGUGGUCAUGUCGUCUCUAUCUCUCUGAGCUUGAAUGCUGCACUUGUUUUUGUGGUAAUCUGUCUGAGUUGUGUGUCGCUGUCUCUGAAGAGGAGAAUCAGCAAGUAUCAGGCAAACCUCCCUCCAGCUGGGACCAGUGAGGGGCUGGAGACUCCACAGGUAAGUCAAAGUGUACAGGUGACCCUGCAGCUCCUGCUCAUUGUUCUCCUUCAGUGCUACUUUGUCCUG
ensembl:lncRNA